AAAAUAGAAAAGAACGCACAGCACAUCUGUUGGAACAUUUUAUUCCUGAUUCUUCAUUUUUCCGAUCCUCCUGGGUGAAAAAACAAAAGAAAGAAAAGGAAAAACCUUUUACUUUCCUCCUCUUUGGAUUUUUUGAU
rnacentral:ribozyme from 13 species